rnacentral:rRNA from 1 species
UAAAACAGAGAGUUCGAUCCUGGCUCAGGAUGAACGCUGGCGGCGUGCUUAACACAUGCAAGUCGAACGAGAGCUACAGGAGGAAGUUUUCGGAUGGAAUCCGGUAGAUCGAGUGGCGGACGGGUGAGUAACGCGUGGGGAACCUGCCUCAUACAGGGGGAUAACAGUUGGAAACGACUGUUAAUACCGCAUAAGACCACAGAGUCGCAUGACUCAGGGGUAAAAACUCCGGUGGUAUGAGAUGGACCCGCGUUCGAUUAGCCAGUUGGCGGGGUAACGGCCCACCAAAGCGACGAUCGAUAGCCGAUUUGAGAGAAUGACCGGCCACAUUGGGACUGAGACACGGCCCAAACUCCUACGGGAGGCAGCAGUGGGGAAUAUUGCACAAUGGGGGGAACCCUGAUGCAGCGACGCCGCGUGAGUGAAGAAGUAUUUCGGUAUGUAAAGCUCUAUCAGCAGGGAAGAAGAUGACGGUACCUGAGUAAGAAGCCCCGGCUAACUACGUGCCAGCAGCCGCGGUAAUACGUAGGGGGCAAGCGUUAUCCGGAUUUACUGGGUGUAAAGGGAGCGCAGACGGCUAUGCAAGUCUGAAGUGAAAGCCCGGGGCUCAACCCCGGGA